rnacentral:rRNA from 1 species
CAGUCGCCGCGGGAAUACGAAGGGUGCAAGCGUUACUCGGAAUUACUGGGCGUAAAGCGUGCGUAGGUGGUGGUUUAAGUCCGUUGUGAAAGCCCUGAGCUCAACCUGGGAAUUGCAGUGGAUACUGGGUCACUAGAGUGUGGUAGAGGAUAGUGGAAUUUCCGGUGUAGCAGUGAAAUGCGUAGAGAUCGGAAGGAACAUCUGUGGCGAAGGCGACUAUCUGGGCCAACACUGACACUGAGGCACGAAAGCGUGGGGAGCAAACAGGAUUAGAUACCCGUGUAGUCCCUGUCUCUUAUAA